ACAAAUAUAUAUGUAUAAAUAUAUGUGUAAUUCAGGAAAAUGGCCACAAACUGAAGCUUAGGAGGUUUAGAAAGAAGCUUAGGACUUUAGAAAAUGUGUUUUUAUCAGAAACCAACGGCAUUAGAACAAGUUGUCCAGAAAAGCUGCUGAGUCUCCAUUCCUUCAUGUUUUCAGAAUUCAACUCAGCAGGCCUCAGUUGACCUACUGCAG